rnacentral:tRNA from 1 species
GCCCGCGUAGCUCAGUGGUAGAGCGCACCCUUGGUAAGGGUGAGGGCACGAGUUCAAUCCUCGUCGCGGGCU